rnacentral:lncRNA from 10 species
UCCUUUCAUUUUGCCUCUUGGAUUGUCAUGAACUUCCUGAGCAAGAAGGCCAUCCACCAUGCAGUGUAAUGUCUUGCUAAGAGAAAUUAGUAUUCAGUCUGCUCAGGUUCCAGCAAGGACUUUCUUCAUGAAGAUCUUCAAGUGGAAUCAAGGAGCCUUGCCCAUGAAGUCAUGCCUGUGGCUCCACUGAGAAAUUCGAUUAAGUAUUCCAAUACUGCUGUGAAACGAAGUGAUCUGAUUCCGGUGAGACAAUUUAUCUUGCAAGGUGAAGAAGUUACCUCAGAGAAGUCAAAUAAUUUACCCAGAGUCACAAAAUAAGCAAAUGAUGGAAUAUUCAAAUCCAGGUCUUCUGACUCUACCUCUAUCUGCCUUAGAGGUUUCUGAAGUAUUGAUAAGAUGGAGGCUGGAAGAGCUUGAAACAGACCAUAUAAAGCCAGGUCUGAGCUGGAAAAGCAAAGAGGCCCAAGGAACAGCACAGACCCUGACUGGUGGGGUAUCUGUGUAUUUUAGAAACUGAAAUAUUUACCAUGGAGCUGACCAAUGAUAUACUUUUUAGAGGUGAUGCAUGAGAUGUUUUCUAUUGCUGACCCAAGCUACUUCUGCCUCUUCUUUCCAGCUAACAGAAUCCCAAUUUGUUCAGAUAGGGACCUUCACCAGGGAUGAACUAUGACUGAGCUAAAUAAACCAGGCUUUCUAAUCUCAUCCCUUUUGGAAGUAAUUGGUCUGAUGAUGAGCAGGUGACCUAGUUCAACUGCAGAUGGAGACACCUGGAGAGGACUUCUUUUCCUGACUAAAAAGACAAAGCUGUGCAAAAAGGAAAGAUUUAACUUUCUCCCCUUCUUUCUUCCUGGAAUAUGGCUCUGGUUCCUGAGAUGCAGCAGAUGUUUUGUGACAUGAGCAAAAAGUCCAAGGAUGAAAGGUAAAGAUGAAGAUGGAAAGGCCCUGAUUCCUUGGUGGGAUCAUGGAGCAGUUGAACCUACUCCAGCAACUGUCUGCCACUGGAAUUCUCGUAAUAGAAGAAAAAUAAUCCCCUAUUCUAUUAGGUUACUGAAGUUUGGUUUGCUGUUUCUUGCGAUUGAAUGCCUAACACAGAUGGGCUCUCCUGAGGUUUGUUGUGAGACUCUAUUGCUAACAUAAUAAGCAAUCUGGGUGUCUUCAUUUGGGUUCCCUCAAUAACAGACCUUAUGACAAGGAUUAGGGUGCAAGUGGUUCAUUUGAGAGGCAAAGGAAAUAUCAAUAAGCAGUUAGGGAAGUGAAACAGAAAAAAGCAGCCAAUAAAGGGUGCAUUAUCAAGCCAGCUACCACUGUGAAGAAACUCUACAAACCAACGGAAAACACAUGCCUCAGGGGUAAAGGAGCUAGGGUAUUUACAUACCAACUCAUUUAUUGGUUGAGGAAGGCUUCCAGGGAACAUUAAUACCCUGGCAUAUCUGUUUACCAUAUAGGAGGCAAACUGGGCUUUAACAGUCAGAGAAAGCCCUCAGGAGAAGAAAUGCAGGCACUGAUCAUUGAAAGUCCAGCUAGCACGCAUUGAAAAACUAGGAGAUAUGGAAGGACAAUCAAGAGCAUCUGCUGCAACUAAUGAGCUGCUGUUACAGGCAAAUACAGGAUAGCCCAUCUGGAUUCUUUACACUAAGGCAAGAGGCAAGCAGAAGACAAAGAGAGAAAGCAGAGGACCUCCGGGAAAGGAAGCCCCCUUUUCAGUCGGCCUAGGCAGAAGUAGAUUUACUCUGAGGAUUCACUCCAAGGGUGAAGUUUUAAGGGUGCUUCACUUGCUCUGGUUUCAUAAAUAAAUUUUGAUCUUCUUAAAUACAU